GACAGAGGGUGCAAACGUUGCUCGGAAUCACUGGGCGUAAAGCGCGUGUAGGCGGGUUGGGAAGUCGGUUGUGAAAUCCCUGGGCUCAACCCAGGACCUGCAUCCGAAACUCCCAGCCUCGAGUGCUGGAGAGGGAGGCGGAAUUCCCGGUGUAGAGGUGAAAUUCGUAGAUAUCGGGAGGAACACCAGUGGCGAAGGCGGCCUCCUGGACAGCCACUGACGCUGAGACGCGAAAGCGUGGGGAGCAAACAGG
rnacentral:misc_RNA from 1 species